rnacentral:rRNA from 1 species
GACGAACCGUACGAACGUUAUUCGGAAUCACUGGGCUUAAAGGGUGCGUAGGCGGCGCGACAAGUUGGGUGUGAAAUCCCUCGGCUCAACCGAGGAACUGCGCCCAAAACUGUCGUGCUCGAGGGAGACAGAGGUGAGCGGAACUUAGGGUGGAGCGGUGAAAUGCGUUGAUAUCCUAAGGAACACCAGUAGCGAAGGCGGCACUCUGGGCCGGUACUGACGCUGAGGAGCGAAAGCGUGGGGAGCGAACAGG